rnacentral:rRNA from 1 species
AGUGAACGCUGGCGGUAUGCCUAACACAUGCAAGUCGAACGGCAGCACAGUAAGAUCUUGCUCUUACGGGUGGCGAGUGGCGGACGGGUGAGGAAUACAUCGCAAUCUACUUUUUCGUGGGGGAUAACGUAGGGAAACUUACGCUAAUACCGCAUACGACCUACGGGUGAAAGCAGUGGAUCUUCGGACCUUGCGCGACUGAAUGAGCCGAUGUCGGAUUAGCUAGUUGGCGUGGUAAAGGCCCACCAAGGCGACGAUGCGUAGCUGGUCUGAGAGGAUGAUCAGCCACACUGGAACUGAGACACGGUCCAGACUCCUACGGGAGGCAGCAGUGGGGAAUAUUGGACAAUGGGCGCAAGCCUGAUCCAGCCAUACCGCGUGAGUGAAGAAGGCCUUCGGGUUGUAAAGCCCUUUUGUUGGGAAAGAAAAGCAGCAGGUUAAUCCCCCGAUGUUCUGACGGUACCCAAAGAAUAAGCACCGGCUAACUUCGUG